rnacentral:rRNA from 1 species
CCUACGGGAGGCAGCAGUGAGGAAUAUUGGUCAAUGGACGAGAGUCUGAACCAGCCAAGUAGCGUGAAGGAUGACUGCCCUAUGGGUUGUAAACUUCUUUUAUAUGGGAAUAAAACGUUCCACGUGUGGGAUUUUGUAUGUACCAUAUGAAUAAGGAUCGGCUAACUCCGUGCCAGCAGCCGCGGUAAUACGGAGGAUCCGAGCGUUAUCCGGAUUUAUUGGGUUUAAAGGGAGCGUAGGUGGAUUGUUAAGUCAGUUGUGAAAGUUUGCGGCUCAACCGUAAAAUUGCAGUUGAAACUGGCAGUCUUGAGUACAGUAGAGGUGGGCGGAAUUCGUGGUGUAGCGGUGAAAUGCUUAGAUAUAACGAAGAACUCCGAUUGCGAAGGCAGUUCACUGGACUGCAACUGACACUGAGGCUCGAAAGUGUGGGUAUCAAACAGGAUUAGAUACCCUAGUAGUC